rnacentral:rRNA from 1 species
AUGACAAUCAACAAGAGUCAAGGGCAAUCUCUAAACAAAGUAGGACUAUAUCUGCGAAAACAAGUUUACAUGCACGGACAACUAUAUGUGGCUAUCCCAAGAGUCACACAAAGAGAUAGUCUACGGACAAUUGUAGAUGAUGAAGAAACCAACAAAGAUGGUUAA